rnacentral:lncRNA from 1 species
CUUGGUGCUACUUCUUUGUUUUCUUUACUUUUAUUAUUUGCUUAUGAAGAAUUGUGAUAGAGAGAAGUAUUGUUGAAACUGUGAUUAAAAUAUUGUGGAAUAUGACUUUGGACUGACCAUUUUGAAAAAAAUCUGUAACCUUGAGAAUUGAGAUUAUCGAAUUGUGUUGUGUUAAGUGAAGAUAUUGAAAUCUGUAUGAUGAAUUGAGAAACUAAAUAUAAUAAGUAAGCUAGAGAUCAGUAAUUGAAUAUAUAUAAACUGCAAAGAGAAUAAGUGGGAGAUGAACUGAUAAGAAUAUGGAAGUAUUGUUGAAUUGAUAUUGGUAGAAUGGAUUAUGUAUUGAAUUAAGACAGAAGUAUUAAGCCUUGGUGUUUUGUAAUUUGAUAAUUGAUUUCAGAUAGCUAGAGUAUAGUCAAUUGUGAUACUAACAGACAUAAUUCAUAUAACCAUUCUUUUUUUGUAUUCAAACGUACUUCUAUUAGUUCAAUUGCUUUGAUAUAUUGAAGCUUGAAUACAACGAGAACCACAUUUUGGCGCCGCUUCUGGAGAAAUGAUAACAAAAUGAAAUAUUAGAAAUUGAAUGUAUGAGAGAUGAAAUUAUAUGUUAAAUGAGAACGUAAAAAGAAUCAAUUUUAGGAUUACAAAUAUGUGAAUUAUAAUUCAAGGGAGUAUUGAUUUUGUAAAGAAGAAUGAAAGAUUAUGAGUGAUAA